UGCGUAGGUGGCGAGCGUUGUCCGGAUUUACUGGGCGUAAAGGGGGCGUAGGCGGACUUUUAAGUGAGAUGUGAAAUACUCGGGCUCAACUUGAGUGCUGCAUUUCAAACUGGAAGUCUAGAGUGCAGGAGAGGAGAAUGGAAUUCCUAGUGUAGCGGUGAAAUGCGUAGAGAUUAGGAAGAACACCAGUGGCGAAGGCGAUUCUCUGGACUGUAACUGACGCUGAGGCUCGAAAGCGUGGGGAGCAAACAGG
rnacentral:rRNA from 1 species